GGGCGUAGUUUAGUGGUAAAAUGUCAGCUUCCCAAGCUGAGGUUACGGGUUCGAUUCCCGCCGCCC
rnacentral:tRNA from 1 species